GCCCCUGUGGAUCAACGGUAGAUUGUCCUCUCAAAUCAUAUGGUAAGGAGAUUUGUGAGGAAGGCGUGGGUUCGAAUCCCGCUAGGGGCA